rnacentral:rRNA from 1 species
AACGAACGCUGGCGGCAGGCUUAACACAUGCAAGUCGAACGCACCGCAAGGUGAGUGGCAGACGGGUGAGUAACACGUGGGGAACUGCCCAAUGGUACGGAAUAGCUCCGGGAAACUGGAAUUAAUACCGUAUGAGCCCGCAAGGGGAAAGAUUUAUCGCCAUUGGAUGAACCCGCGUCGGAUUAGCUAGUUGGUGUGGUAAAGGCGCACCAAGGCGACAAUCCGUAGCUGGUCUGAGAGGAUGAUCAGCCACACUGGGACUGAGACACGGCCCAGACUCCUACGGGAGGCAGCAGUGGGGAAUAUUGGACAAUGGGCGCAAGCCUGAUCCAGCCAUGCCGCGUGAGUGAUGAAGGCCUUAGGGUUGUAAAGCUCUUUCGCCGACGAAGAUAAUGACGGUAGUCGGAGAAGAAGCCCCGGCUAACUUCGUGCCAGCAGCCGCCGUAACAC